AUCUCGGUGGUGUGGUGGUAGCACGCGUUCCCCGUAUGGAUGAAACGCGGGUUCGACUCCCGUGUGAGGUA